GAGUUUGAUCCUGGCUCAGAACGAACGCUGGCGGCAGGCUUAACACAUGCAAGUCGAGCGCACUCUUCGGAGUGAGCGGCGGACGGGUUAGUAACGCGUGGGAACGUGCCCUUCUCUAAGGAAUAGCCACUGGAAACGGUGAGUAAUACCUUAUACGCCCUUCGGGGGAAAGAUUUAUCGGAGAAGGAUCGGCCCGCGUUAGAUUAGAUAGUUGGUGGGGUAAUGGCCUACCAAGUCUACGAUCUAUAGCUGGUUUUAGAGGAUGAUCAGCAACACUGGGACUGAGACACGGCCCAGACUCCUACGGGAGGCAGCAGUGGGGAAUCUUGGACAAUGGGCGCAAGCCUGAUCCAGCCAUGCCGCGUGAGUGAUGAAGGCCUUAGGGUCGUAAAGCUCUUUCGCCAGAGAUGAUAAUGACAGUAUCUGGUAAAGAGACCCCGGCUAACUCCGUGCCAGCAGCCGCGGUAAUACGGAGGGGGUUAGCGUUGUUCGGAAUUACUGGGCGUAAAGCGCACGUAGGCGGAUCAGAAAGUACAGGGUGAAAUCCCAGGGCUCAACCCUGGAACUGCCUUGUAAACUCCUGGUCUUGAGUUCGAGAGAGGUGAGUGGAAUUCCGAGUGUAGAGGUGAAAUUCGUAGAUAUUCGGAGGAACACCAGUGGCGAAGGCGGCUCACUGGCUCGAUACUGACGCUGAGGUGCGAAAGUGUGGGGAGCAAACAGGAUUAGAUACCCUGGUAGUCCACACCGUAAACGAUGAAUGCCAGACGUCAGCAAGCAUGCUUGUUGGUGUCACACCUAACGGAUUAAGCAUUCCGCCUGGGGAGUACGGUCGCAAGAUUAAAACUCAAAGGAAUUGACG
rnacentral:rRNA from 1 species